AAAAUGAAAUAAAAAUGAAUUAAAGUGUAAUAUACCUAGCACUUUUCUCUGAAUUUCUGAAUUUUAAGAGGGGCAAAACAAGUCACCCAAGAAAAACUAAAGGAGGCUGAUUCAAAUGUUAAAACUCAACAUUUCCUCUGUUAAUUGACUUACCACAUUUAUGAAUAUUGUUAAUUAUUAUUACUUUUUUAGCAUUUUCUAGUUGGCACAGAUGUUAGUAAAACCAUGUCCUGCAACUUCAGUAGUCAACUGUACUUAAUAUCUGAUCUAUUUGUAGGAUAGGAUCAUUACAGGAUGAA
rnacentral:misc_RNA from 1 species